GCAUGCCUACAACAUAGUGUUAAUGCACCGGAUCCCACUAGAACUCUGCAGUUAAGCAUGCUCGGGCUAGAGUAGUACUGGGAUGGGUGAUCGCCUGGGAAGUCGUAAUGUUUUACAUGCC
rfam:Picea glauca, whole genome shotgun sequence.